rnacentral:rRNA from 1 species
UACGAAGGGGGCUAGCGUUGCUCGGAAUGACUGGGCGUAAAGGGCGCGUAGGCGGCUGUGACAGUCAGAUGUGAAAUUCCUGGGCUCAACCUGGGGGCUGCAUUUGAUACGUGAUGGCUGGAGUGGGGAAGAGGGUCGUGGAAUUCCCAGUGUAGAGGUGAAAUUCGUAGAUAGUCGGGAGGAACACCCUGUGGCGAAAGCGGCUCACUGGACCACAACUGACGCUGAGGCGCGAAAGCUAAGGGGAGCAAACAGGG